CAUGCAGGUGGUUUGUUAAGUCAGUAUGUGAAAGCCCGGGGCUCAACCUCGGAAUUGCAUUUUGAAACUGGCAAACUAGAGUACUGUAGAGGGGGUAGAAUUUCAGGUGUAGCGGUGAAAUGCGUAGAGAUCUGAAGGAAUACCGGUGGCGAAGGCGGCCCCCCUGGACAGAUACUGACACUCAGAUGCGAAAGCGUGGGGAGCAAACAGGAUUAGAUACCCUGGUAG
rnacentral:rRNA from 1 species